GAUGAAGAACGUAGCGAAAUGCGAUAAGUAGUGUGAAUUGCAGAAUUCAGUGAGUCAUCGAAUCUUUGAACGCACAUUGCGCCCUUUGGUAUUCCUUAGGGCAUGCCUGUUCGAGCGUCAUUUAAACCUUCAAGCUAAGCUUGGUGUUGGGUGACUGUCCGCUUCACGGCGGACUCGCCUCAAAAUUAUUGGCGGCCGGUACAUUGGCUUCGAGCGCAGCAGAAACGCGAACUCGGGCCCGUCGUAUUGGCUCCCAGAAGCUAUCUUCACAAUUUUGACCUCGGAUCAGGUAGGGAUACCCGCUGAACUUAAGCAUAUCAAUAAGCGGAGGA
rnacentral:misc_RNA from 1 species